AAUUUGUGAUCUGCACUUGAAUUGAAUCUUGCAUUGAAGUUUGGCUUUAAAGCAUUGAUUUCUAUAUCUACCCUUCAAAUGAAUGAAUUUUAUUAUUAUCAUUUUUGUGUUUUAUGGGAAUUUGAUAAUAGGUCAUUUUGUGUCACUAAAAUUUUACUUUAUGCUCUUUCAUUGAACUGAAACCUUGAUUUGUGGGGCAAUGACCUGGUGUAGGUGCUCACCUAUAAAAAAAAACCAAAAAAAAUGACCUGGUGUAGAUGCUGAAGCAAUAUAUUUCAUUCCAAUUUUGUUGAUGAUAUGUUUGAUUGCUUGUU
rnacentral:lncRNA from 1 species